CCUUAGCUGUAUCCAUGCAAGAUCCUGCACUGUACUGCCAAGGCUGUUGUUUCAACUAAUGCUGGUGGCAGGUCUGAGUUGAAGCACUGUGCAGCAGACAGCUGCACAUCACCUGUCCUCUUGCAAAGAAGAUGCAAGAAAUAUGGUGACUUUAAGAGCUAACGACAAAAACAAUCAUCAAGGAAACUAACUGGCUCAGACUCAUGGCACAGCAGGACAUCUUGUCAAGGUGAGAGGAUAUUCAGUCACCAUUAAUCUAAGAAUUACAUUGUGCGCUUCCUUCUGAAUUUAGCAGUUACUCCUGUUUA
rnacentral:lncRNA from 1 species